GCCAACUUUCGCCGGGACUCCAGAGAGGCCAAAGAGGAGAAUCAUCAUUCGCAGACCGAGAGAUGAUGACCCAUUCCUGAAGUUGGACGCCAGAAUGCAGGAAGGUGCUGUUUAAGAGCCUAGGCGGUGGAAGAAGCACUUGCAGGUAUGCUACCGACCAGGCUCCUCAACACCAAUCCGAGACGGAAGAUGAAACGGGAUGAAGCAGUUAGAUUGAGACAAGGCGGCCGGAAACUUUGAUGACCUCAAUGACACUGGCUAGGUGAAGGACAUCAACAAAAUGGCAUCAGGUCACCAGACAUCAGCUCAUAAUCCACAACAUCAUCAACCAUUUUGCGCCAAAAAUGAAGCCGUUCACAUACCAUGGCAUCCUAAGCAGGCAGCACUACACUACUAUGCAACAGUGAGAGAGAGCGGGCAAGGACAAGUAAAGCGGACCUACACUACAGCAAGACUUUGACACUUCUCCACGUUCGAGGCAGCCAUCACCCCCACCGUUGAGCAGCGGCUAUGUGUAACCCCCAAAAGAGGAGAUGAUCCGACGAUGUGUGCGUGUGUGUGUGUGUGAUGUAUGAUAUUGUAACACUUCAGUCCUUCUUUUAUACUAUACAGUGUAUACAUAUACAUUUGUGGGUUUGUUUAAAAACCAUUGCUGAGGUUAAGAAAUGCAUUAUGACAAAUACAUCUGAUUCAGGUGUACUGUCUUUUAUUUGCCACAAAUAAAUCACAUCCUGGAAACCUG